UUCCCCCUUACAGUUAAGAUUAGAUCCUGGACAACAUAAGUUCCUUGGGUAAAAACGUGUUCGGAGUUCAGGAGGACUUUUAAGGACUCUUAAGCAGAGAAGAAAAUGAUGGAAAGAAAAAAAGGUUGGAGAAAUACUGAAUGACUGUUGUUGGGAAUAGAAUGAUUUUAUAUGUUUUACUAUAAGUUGUGUUUCACUAUAUAAGUUUUAGAUGAUGAGAAUACUGAGAUGAUUUCAGCUGAUCUGAAUGUGUUUGCUUUGCAGAAGUGGAGAAGUACAGGGGAGGAAGAGACAUGAAGUCUGAGGAGCACAUAUGCUAUGCUUAGAUAAUUAGUUUCAUAUAUGGUAAAAAGAAUAGAAAGUGAUGUACAGAUAGUAAGGUACAGCACGUGUAGGGAGUUGUGUUGUUCUCUUGUCUUUCAAAACAGGAACCACGCCCCCACCGCCAGCGGGAAGGAGUCAGAUUAACACGAGGCAGGGGCGUGGUGUGGUGUGGUGAAGGAGGAAGUGGAACUGCCAAUGAGAAGAGGACAACGCCUUGCGUGCACAAUGACACUCUGUUACGCUCAAAUAUACUGGGUCAGGGAAAGGACAGGAGGUCAGACUUCGUGAACUGACACACCUUUGUUGUUCGUCAGGGACGUGAAGUUGAGACCCAGAGCUCUGUAAUUUUAUUCCUUUACUGUUUAAUAAACUACAUUAACUGAAA